rnacentral:rRNA from 1 species
GAAACUGCGAAUGGCUCAUUAACCAGUUAUAGUUUUCUUGAUAUUCGACUUUAUAUGGAUAACCGUAGAAAUCCUAGAACUAAUACAUGCAUUGCGCCCGACUCUUUGGAAGGGCAGUAUUGAGCAGUUUACAAACUAAUAUUCCUUCGGGUCUAUUUCGUCUAUUCAUUCUCACCAUACGAAUCGCCGGCAGGUCCGCGAUAAUUCAUCCAAGUUUCUGCCCUAUCAGCUUGAUGGUACUGUAUUGGACUACCAUGGCUUUUACGAGUAACGGGGGAUCAGGGUUCGACACCGGAGAGGGAGCCUGAGAAACGGCUACCACUUCUACGGAAGGCAGCAGGCGCGAAAAUUACCCAAUCCUAAUUCAGGGAGGUAGUGACGAGAAAUAACAGACAGGGCUUCGCCCUGGUUUGUAAUGGACCUAUUUUACACAGCUUAGUGAGGAACAAUUGGAGGGCAAGUCUGGUGCCAGCAGCCGCGGUAAUUCCAGCUCCAAUAGCGUAUAUCAUAGUUGUUGCAGUUAAAAAGCUCAUCAUUGGAACUCUGAGGAACCGAGAAGCUUGCACUGCUGUGCUUGUCGAUUGGCUUUCUCAUCCUUCUGUUAACGGUUCAAGGCAUUGAAUUGCUGGUUCCGGGCUCAGAUCCUUCACCUUGAGUAAAUUAGAGUGUUUAUAGCAGGCUAACGCAUCGAAUACUAUAGCAUGGAAUGAUUCAUAGGACUUCACAUCCUUUGUUGGUUUGAGAUGGGGAGUAAUGGUUAAUAGAGACAGUUGGGGGCAAUAGGAUUAGAAUGUCAGAGGUGAAAUUCUUUCAUUAUUCUAAGACUAACUAAUGCGAAAGCAUUUGCCAAGAAUGUAUUCUUUAAUCAAGAACGAAUGUUUGGGGAUCAAAGACGAUCAGAUACCGUCCUAGUCUAAACCAUAAACUAUGCCGACUAGGUAUCGGAGGCGAGCACGUUCGCGUUCGGCACCUUAUGAGAAAUCAAAGUCUUUGGGUUCUGGGGGAAGUAUGGUCGCAAGGCUGAAACUUAAAGGAAUUGACGGAAGGGCACCACCAGGAGUGGAGCUUGCGGCUUAAUUUGACUCAACACGGGAAAACUUACCAGGUCCAGACAUUUGGAAGGAUUGACUGAUUGAUCGUUCAUUCUUGAUUCUAUGGGUGGUGGUGCAUGGCCGUUCUUAGUUGGUGGAGUGAUUAGUCUGGUUUAUUCCGAUAACGACCGAGACCUUAGCCUGCUACAAUAGUGCGUCGCAAUUUUGAGCUUCGGCACUUCAUAGAGGGACUUUACGCGCAAUCGUAAGGAAGUUAGGCAAAAACAGGUCUGUGAUGCCCUUAGAUGUUCUGGGCCGCACGCGUGCUACACUGAUAACAGCAGAAAGUACUCCUGCUCCGAAAGGUUCGUGGGAAAUCUAGUAAUUGUUAUCGUGAUGGGGAUAGAUGAUUGUAAUUUUUCAUCUCGAACGAGGAAUUCCUAGUAAGUCCAGGUCAUUAACCUGUGCUGAUUAAGUCCCUGCCCUUUGUACACACCGCCCGUCGCUUCUACCGAUUUGAGUGGGAAGGUGAGCCAUUUGAAUGGCUCCGUCACCGGAGCUCCGAAUCUAGCAAAUCAUUCACACUUAGAGGAAGAAGAAGUCGUAACAAGGUUUCCGUAGGUGAACCUGCAGAAGGAUCA